AGGAUGGACUUGGUCGGAGUUGUAAAUGGUCAAUACGAGACACGGCUCACAGGUCUUUCACCGUUGGGUGGGAUGUGCGUUUAUGGACAAAAUGCGCUAAUUUUUGAAGACGAAUAUAUGACAUUUUCCGGAUUGGAUGUAGCAGUGCACGAAGUCGGUCACAUGUUAGGAGCGCCACAUGACGUAUACCCACCUCAGUACGAGAGUCUGUGUGGAUGGGGGCUUGGCUACAUCAUGAGUUAUGUCGACGGUGGACAAAGGAAGCACCUGUUUUCACCCUGCAGUCAAGCGCGCAUACGACACUCUCUCAGCCUAAAACCACAAUCAUGCUUAGAUGUGACGUUUGUACACGACUACCUUACACGAUUGCCCGGGGUGUACCCAGGAAAAGUGGUUGACGGCAAUGCCUUCUGCAAGUUCAAGCACCCGGACAUAGCUGCCAUAUAC